GCAAGUCGAGCGAGAAAGCUUUCUUCGGAAAGUGAGUAGAGCGGCGCACGGGUGAGUAACGCGUGGAUAAUCUCCCCUGAAGAUUGGGAUAACAGUUGGAAACGACUGCUAAUACCGGAUACGCUCCAUCUAACCAUGGGGGAAAGGUGGCCUCUAUUUAUAAGCUACCACUUCAGGAUGAGUCCGCGUCUCAUUAGCUAGUUGGUAAGGUAAUGGCUUACCAAGGCGACGAUGAGUAGCUGGUUUGAGAGGAUGAUC
rnacentral:rRNA from 1 species